UGGGGAAUUUUGGACAAUGGGCGAAAGCCUGAUCCAGCAAUGCCGCGUGUGUGAUGAAGGCCUUCGGGUUGUAAAGCACUUUUGGCGGGAACGAAAAGGACCGUGCCAAUACCAUGGUCUGAUGACGGUACCCGCAGAAUAAGCACCGGCUAACUACGUGCCAGCAGCCGCGGUAAUACGUAGGGUGCAAGCGUUAAUCGGAAUUACUGGGCGUAAAGAGUGCGCAGGCGGUUUUGCAAGACCGAUGUGAAAUCCCCGGGCUUAACCUGGGAACUGCAUUGGUGACUGCAAGGCUAGAGUGUGUCAGAGGGAGGUGGAAUUCCGCAUGUAGCAGUGAAAUGCGUAGAUAUGCGGAGGAACACCGAUGGCGAAGGCAGCCUCCUGGGAUAACACUGACGCUCAUGCACGAAAGCGUGGGGAGCAAACAGGAUUAGAUACCCUGGUAGUCCACGCCCUAAACGAUGUCUACUAGUUGUCGGGGAUUAAUUUCCUUGGUAACGCAGCUAACGCGUGAAGUAGACCGCCUGGGGAGUACGGUCGCAAGAUUA
rnacentral:rRNA from 1 species